CAAGACAUCCACUGAGUGAAGAUCGAAGCAUCAAACAACAGUAAAAGCUCCGAUUAUCCGUUCAGUACACAUCGUUCUCUCGGUAAACAAAAUCUCUCACAAAUAUCCGAGAAAAACCUUCAAUAAAACUUCCAACGCAAUCGAUAACAAGUAACGGAGAUGAAUCCGAGGAUCAUCCCGCUCUGAUACCAUAAAAACGUAAGGAUUGAUGGCAAAGUUGAUGAAGAACUUAGUGAGAGAAAGAGAGAGAAACUGAAGAAUCUGAUACCAUGAAAACGUAAGGAUUGAAGGCAAAGUUGAUGAAGAACUGAGUGAGAGAAACUGAAGAACUCUCUGGAACAACC
rnacentral:lncRNA from 1 species